rnacentral:rRNA from 1 species
UUAAAAAAAGCCUUUCGGGUUGUAAAGUACUUUCAGCAGUGAGGAAGGUGGGUAUGUUAAUAGCAUAUUCAUUUGACGUUAGCUGCAGAAGAAGCACCGGCUAAUUCCGUGCCAGCAGCCGCGGUAAUACGGAGGGUGCGAGCGUUAAUCGGAAUUACUGGGCGUAAAGCGCAUGCAGGUGGUUUGUUAAGUCAGAUGUGAAAGCCCGGGGCUCAACCUCGGAAUUGCAUUUGAAACUGGCAAACUAGAGUACUGUAGAGGGGGGUAGAAUUUCAGGUGUAGCGGUGAAAUGCGUAGAGAUCUGAAGGAAUACCGGUGGCGAAGGCGGCCCCCUGGACAGAUACUGACACUCAGAUGCGAAAGCGUGGGGAGCAAACAGGAUUAGAUACCCUGGUAGUCCACGCCGUAAACGAUGUCUACUUGGAGGUUGUGGCCUUGAGCCGUGGCUUUCGGAGCUAACGCGUUAAGUAGACCGCCUGGGGAGUACGGUCGCAAGAUUAAAACUCAAAUGAAUUGACGGGGGCCCGCACAAGCGGUGGAGCAUGUGGUUUAAUUCGAUGCAACGCGAAGAACCUUACCUACUCUUGACAUCUACAGAAGCCAGCGGAGACGCAGGUGUGCCUUCGGGAACUGUAAGACAGGUGCUGCAUGGCUGUCGUCAGCUCGUGUUGUGAAAUGUUGGGUUAAGUCCCGCAACGAGCGCAACCCUUAUCCUUGUUUGCCAGCACUUCGGGUGGGAACUCCAGGGAGACUGCCGGUGAUAAGCCGGAGGAAGGUGGGGACGACGUCAAGUCAUCAUGGCCCUUACGAGUAGGGCUACACACGUGCUACAAUGGCGCAUACAGAGGGCGGCCAACUUGCGAAAGUGAGCGAAUCCCAAAAAGUGCGUCGUAGUCCGGAUUGGAGUCUGCAACUCGACUCCAUGAAGUCGGAAUCGCUAGUAAUCGUGGAUCAGAAUGCCACGGUGAAUACGUUCCCGGGCCUUGUACACACCGCCCGUCACACCAUGGGAGUGGGCUGCAAAAGAAGUGGGUAGUUUAACCUUCGGGAGGACGCUCACCACUUUGUGGUUCAUGACUGGGGUGAAGUCGUAACAAGGUAACCG